rnacentral:rRNA from 1 species
GUGUCAGCAGCCGCGGUAAGACGAAGGUGGCAAGCGUUGUUCGGAAUCACUGGGCAUAAAGAGCACGUAGGCGGCUAAGUAAGUCGGAUGUGAAAUACCUCGGCUCAACCGAGGAACUGCGUCCGAUACUGCUUGGCUUGAGGUCCGGAGGGGAGAGUGGAAUUCCCGGUGGAGCGGUGAAAUGCGUAGAGAUCGGGAAGAACGCCGGCGGCGAAAGCGACUCUCUGGUCGGAAUCUGACGCUGAGGUGCGAAAGCUAGGGGAGCAAACGGGAUUAGAUACCCUCGUAGUCC